AUUAAGAUGGAUGGGGAAAGUUCACACCUCUCACUUUUAUUUUAUUUCUUUGCUUUUCUUUCCAUUUGCCUGCAUACUCAGCAAAGCCGCUCAUUCACUACACAGUCUGCUUUUAUACCCACUGGACUGAAAAGUUGAUUUACUGAAGAACUUGGAUUUUCCAGGAAAAGGAAAAAAAUCCACAGAGAGUUUUAAAAUCUACAGAAUACAACAGGAUUAUCAGAGGAAUAAGAAAUCUUACGUUAGAUCCUUUGGUUUUUAAAUCAAUCCUCAAAGAGGUUUUAAAGCCCAUACAGUUUUUGGAUGGUUCUUCUGGACAUCCCUGUAAAUGUUCUUUAUAUAAUAUCUGCUAAGAGGGAGAGCUAAAACCAGCAUUUAUGUGAAAUACUAGGCUAGUGCAUUUUGUUCAGUUAGUUUUUACAAAUGUUGAUUGGAAAGCAAUGGAAGGACAUUACCAUUUGCUGAGUGCCUACUAUAUGAAAGCAUCAUGCUAGGUACCAGGAGAGACCGUGAAGUUUAACACCUAGUUCAGUCCCUUUGCUCUGAUGACGAAAAAGCAUACAUGAUUUUCUCUAACACAGGUCAGACCCUGAGAAGUGUUAUGGUAUAGAUUCCUGCAACAAGAUCGUGGAGAAAUGGACAAGUUCAUUCUGACUGAAGCAUUUAGAAAAGCUUCUUAAAGAAAGAACCCAGGAUGCUGGGAUCAUCAUACAGAAGGCUACCCACUGAAUACUUUAUUAGACUAUGAAGUGAACAAGAAUUAUUUGAAGGACAAGAUGAUUGCUUGCAGCUUCCUCAAGCCUUCUAAUCAAGCCGAGGAAACUACCAGAAUGAAAUGAACUGCUGCUGAAGACUCCUUUUCUUGCCAACAUCACUGCAGAACAUUUACAAAGUGUUUCAUGAAUGAAUGCGGAACAUGCCACAUGAAGGAUGGGCAUUAGCUAAACCCAGGCAUGCAAGAUUGAAUGACCUCGACUGGCAACCCUUGCACCCAAUUACAAACGAAUGGGACCAGGAAUGUGGUUCUCUCACACUUGCUGGGAGGCGCCUGCACCCACCACCUCCUGCCAUCCAUCUACCCCCUUCCCUGAUUUGUGUCUGUUUUUGUUAAACAGUGGGUCUUGCCAUGCUUUUCAGAAAGCUGACAAGAAGCAAGCUGAAAAUUAAAAAUGGGUGCCGAGAGGCUUUACGGGAGUCUAAAUAAACAGCUCGACAGGAAAGACGUGUGGCAGGCUAAGG